UACAGAGGUCCCAAGCGUUGUUCGGAUUCACUGGGCGUAAAGGGUGCGUAGGCGGUCUGACAAGUCUGAUGUGAAAUCUAUGGGCUCAACCCAUAGUCUGCAUCGGAAACUGUCGGGCUUGAGUAUGGGAGAGGUGAGUGGAAUUUCCGGUGUAGCGGUGAAAUGCGUAGAUAUCGGAAGGAACACCUGUGGCGAAAGCGGCUCACUGGACCAUUACUGACGCUGAGGCACGAAAGCUAGGGGAGCAAACAGG
rnacentral:rRNA from 1 species